rnacentral:ncRNA from 1 species
ACACACUUUGUUUUGAUGCUAGAGUUUAGUUUCUACCUGACAACGCAUGGUAGUUUUCGCGAGCUUACUAAAGUUACCCAUCUUCUAUUUUAACCCAGCAAGAAACAUUACAAAAUUCUGGAAACAGAAAUUUAAUCAUGGUAGAAACCUUGUGACAAAUAAGGUGCCAGCAGUCGCGGUCAUACCUUAACAAGAACUAAACCAAAUAAGGUUGGAUUAUUAUGUCUACCUUCUUUUAUUGGUGAAAUGAAAAAGAAGGCUCACUUACCAUUUUUACUUAUUAAAUUUGUGAUCCUAAACUCUUUGGAUAAACCAGGAUUAGAUACCCUGUUAUAGAGAGCAAAAAUCAAUAAACCUAAGCACUAAGACUUUAUAGUUAAAACUUAAAAAACAUGGCGCUGAUCUUUACAUUCAGGGGAACUUACCAGAUAAAUGAUAACCCCCAAGAAACCCUCCUUAGUUUUCAAAGUCUGUAUACCGCCGUCGUAAAAGCUUACCUGAGGUAAGCUUUUACCGUUAUUUCCACGAGAAGACAGGUCAUGGUGCAGCCAAUAGCUGAGUCAUUAAGGUGAGUUACACUACUAAUUUUCUUCUUUGAAUUUCUAAGUUAAACCCUUAGGAUGAAGCCGGACUUGAAAGUAAAAGAAAAAAGAAAUACUUAUUGAAUAAACCGAAGAUUAUGCACAAAUCGCCCGUCACUCUCGUUGUAAAAUGAGAUAAGUCGUAACAUAGUAGGGGUAAUGGAAAUUGCCCCU